GAGUUUGAUCCUGGCUCAGGAUGAACGCUGGCGGCGUGCUUAACACAUGCAAGUCGAACGGAGUCAUCAUUUUUGAAGCAAUUAGCUUGCUAAGAGUGGAAAUGUUGACGACUUAGUGGCGGACGGGUGAGUAACGCGUGGGUAACCUGCCAUAUACAGGGGGAUAACACUUAGAAAUAGGUGCUAAUACCGCAUAAGCGCACAGUAUUGCAUGAGACAGUGUGAAAAACUACGGUGGUAUAUGAUGGACCCGCGUCUGAUUAGCUGGUUGGUGAGGUAACGGCCCACCAAGGCGACGAUCAGUAGCCGGCCUGAGAGGGUGGACGGCCACAUUGGGACUGAGACACGGCCCAAACUCCUACGGGAGGCAGCAGUGGGGAAUAUUGGACAAUGGGGGAAACCCUGAUCCAGCGACGCCGCGUGAGUGAAGAAGUAUUUCGGUAUGUAAAGCUCUAUCAGCAGGGAAGAAAAAAAUGACGGUACCUGACUAAGAAGCCCCGGCUAACUACGUGCCAGCAGCCGCGGUAAUACGUAGGGGGCAAGCGUUAUCCGGAUUUACUGGGUGUAAAGGGAGCGUAGACGGCAGGGCAAGUCUGAUGUGAAAGGUCGGGGCCCAACCCCGGGACUGCAUUGGAAACUGUCCGGCUGGAGUACA
rnacentral:rRNA from 1 species